rnacentral:tRNA from 1 species
GCCACCGGCAUAAUGGAUAAGGCACCGGCCUUCUAAGCCGGGGAUUGCGGGUUCGAUCCCCGCCGGUGGUA